AGGGGCCCGGGCUGGGACAGUGAAGAGUGCUGGGCAGUCUGUGGUCCUCUCUACCUCAACUUUUUCAUCUUAAAAAAACAAAUAGGGUUGUGUGUGUGGCUGGUGGUCAUAAGGUCCUUUCUGGCUCUAAUAACCUGAGCUUCUGUUAUGAAGCUGGGACCCUUAGAGCCUCAGAAUGAUCCUCUGUUUGUGAAGCCCCCAUCAGGUGCUAAGCACCAUGGUGGCACUUAGCUGAAGCUCCUCUGUAACUCCUGUGGGCCCUGCCUUGCCCACCCCCUGCAGCUGCUGCAGUGCUCCUGAGCAGCACAGGCCUGAUGGAGCUUCUGGAGAAGAUGCUGGCACUCACCUUGGCAAAGGCAGAUUCUCCCAGGACUGCACUCCUCUGCUCUGCCUGGCUGCUCACUGCCUCCUUCUCUGCCCAGCAGCACAGUGGCAGUUUGCAGGUUCACCAGACACUCUCUGUGGAAAUGGACCAAGUAUUGAAGGCUCUCAGCUUUCCAAAGAAAAAGGCUGCACUACUCUCAGCUGCCAUCGUAUGCUUCCUGCGGACAGCCCUGCGACAAAGCUUUUCCUCUGCCCUGGUAGCCCUGGUGCCCUCAGGGGCCCAGCCACUGCCAGCCACCGAGGAUACUGUCCUAGCUCCACUGCGAACAUCACAAGUCCGGUCCCUGGUCAUUGGGCUGCAGAACCUCUUGGUGCAGAAGGACCCUCUAUUGUCCCAGGCCUGUGUUGGCUGCCUGGAGGCCUUGCUUGACUACCUGGAUGCCCGGAGCCCAGACAUCGCUCUCCACGUGGCCUCCCAGCCUUGGAAUCGGUUUUUGCUGUUUACCCUCUUGGAUGCUGGAGAUAAUUCCUUCCUCAGACCUGAGAUUUUGAGGCUCAUGACCCUGUUUAUGCGGUACCGGAGUAGCAGUGUCCUCUCUCAUGAAGAGGUGGGUGAUGUUCUGCAAGGUGUGGCUUUGGCUGACCUGUCUACCCUCUCGAACACCACACUCCAGGCCCUGCAUGGCUUCUUCCAGCAGCUCCAGAGCAUGGGACACCUGGCUGACCACAGCAUGGCCCAGACCCUGCAGGCCUCCUUGGAGGGCCUUCCCCCUAGCACCUCCUCAGGCCAGCCACCCCUGCAGGACAUGCUCUGCCUGGGAGGGGUGGCUGUAUCCCUGUCCCACAUCAGAAACUGAUCCUCA
rnacentral:sRNA from 1 species